rnacentral:lncRNA from 1 species
ACAGGCUUGCCCGCAGUAUAAGAUUUUUCCGCGUAUAUAUAUAAAAAAAACAUUCAUCCUUCAGAAAAUAAACAACUCCUCCCAGAACAUGAUUUUUUCUUAAAGAACUCUUGCAUUGUCGUUCCCUUAACCAAUGUUGAUGUGCGAGAAUAAGCAAAUUUCUGGUUCUUCUGUUAGAAACUUGUUAAUAUUUGACAAGGAAAUAAGUUUUCUGCUUCUAGUCCACUUCAAUGCAGUAAUCUACUCUCAAAACUGUUACAAGAAUGUCAAAAUAAUUUUUGUUUAGAGAGGGAGGUGGGGGGAGUGGGGAAGAGGAAACAAGAAAUUGCCAGCAAAAUUUUUCAACCAUGCAUGGUUCUAAAGAAGAGAGAUUAUAUUGAGGUUUACUCGAUUAAGGAAAAGUAAGAAAUAAAACUAUGACAUAGACAUCUAAAAACUUUCAUCUAAAAUUAGAAAGAAAUCACAUGCAAAUGAAAUUAAGAAUCUUUGUGGAAAUAGAACUGAGAGACUUGGAUAUCAGUCAAACCUUAUAAACAUGUUCUUGUUCAUGGUGUCCCUAGCUGCUUCUAUGUUAAACUUCACGAAAUAUAAAACUAACUCAAGCACAUAAAUUAAUGAUUUUCACAGAAAUCUGAUAUAAGUAAAAGCAAGACUUACAUAAAACUAUUGUAAAGCUCACUAAUCUGCAAAUUGAACAUAAAACAAUAUACAACAGCCUCAUUCCAAAACUUUUGGGAUGUUGGUCCUAU